rnacentral:rRNA from 1 species
GACGAACGCUGGCGGCGUGCUUAACACAUGCAAGUCGAACGGAAAGGCCCUGCUUUUGUGGGGUGCUCGAGUGGCGAACGGGUGAGUAGCACGUGAGUAACCUGCCCUUGACUUUGGGAUAACUUCAGGAAACUGGGGCUAAUACCGGAUAGGAGCUCCUGCUGCAUGGUGGGGGUUGGAAAGUUUCGGCGGUUGGGGAUGGACUCGCGGCUUAUCAGCUUGUUGGUGGGGUAGUGGCUUACCAAGGCUUUGACGGGUAGCCGGCCUGAGAGGGUGACCGGCCACAUUGGGACUGAGAUACGGCCCAGACUCCUACGGGAGGCAGCAGUGGGGAAUAUUGCACAAUGGGCGGAAGCCUGAUGCAGCAACGCCGCGUGCGGGAUGACGGCCUUCGGGUUGUAAACCGCUUUCGCCUGUGACGAAGCGUGAGUGACGGUAAUGGGGAAAGAAGCACCGGCUAACUACGU